GCUUUUAAAGGAUAGUAGAAAUCCGCUGGUCUUAGGAACCAACCACCUUGGUGCAAAUCCAAGUAAAAGCA
rnacentral:tRNA from 1 species